GUGGUCUGAACCCCCAGCUGAGUGCUUCUGCGGGGAAAUCCACAUUCCUCCCUCAGCCCAAAUGCAGGUUAAUCUUGAAGCUGCUCAGCCAAAGAGCCAGGGGCUAGAGUCCGGGGUUUCUUGGAUGUUCAGAGGAUGGCCCCAGCCCCUUUCCAGAGGUCAAGAUUCCUGAACACAAUACCAGGCUCCUUGGAUUUGAAUCUCUGAGGGUGAGCCCUAGGAACCUGCAAUUUGCACACACUUUCUAGGUCAUUCUUAUGCACACUAAAAUUUCAUGUCCACUAUUUAGUGUAUCUCACAGAAAUUAGAAGAAAUCUUACUACUGACCAUAGAAUAUACCAGAACUAACACUAAUUAGCAAGAUGAGAGAAGGGGUCUAAGAGAUGAUUGGUUGUGAUAACCAGUCAUGCUUCUUACAAAACAUCUGAUCUACCUAGAGGAAAUGGCCCAAGACCUUCAAAGGCUGGCUUGCUAUCCUCUGGUCACCAAGUAAAAAUCAGUAGUCAUUGGCGGGAAAAAAGUCUUUUCCACAGUGGUGAGGCCACGGAAGAGAAGUAAGGGGAACAACAUCACAGAAGCACUAACCACCUCCAUGGGACCCUCUGAGAAAUGAAAAAGAGGUAGAAAAAUGAAGAAAAAUGAAAAUCCAAGCACCAAGAUGUUAAUGGGUCUGAGGUUUAGGAAACAAAGACUUGAUAUCCAGAAACAGCUUCUCAGUGCAAAUUGUCAUGACAACCUGAAGAGAGGACACACUGCCGCAAGCCGCACAGGGGGACAGAGAGUCCAUGCGUCAUGAUGAAAGGGAGCUGGCUAGUCUGCCUCCACUUUGCCGAGAGCUCAGCAAUAUAAAACCACAGUGCAUUUUGAAGGUCACACUUGGUCUUAUAAAUGGAAAGCGGGUUUAGGGGCUUCGCCGUGCAGAUGCUUCUCGGCCUGCAGCGAGGUCUGGAGGAUGAACAGACUGUACGGCUCAGAGUCUGCGUGGGGCUGUUAUUACCUGCCAGCUCCCCCCAACCCGCCCAGUGGGUUGAUGGUUUAAUUGUGCUUGACCACUGAGGUAAGCUUUGUGCAAAGAGAUAGGGAAGCAGCUCCCCUUUGAUUGUUCCUACCCAGAGCCAUUGGAGAAAGCAGGUUGUUUACCACAGAAGAGCUGUGAAGAGCUCCUCCGAAAGCCUUGUGGGCUAUUUUUGGGUAGCGAAUUUCUGCAUGGCAUGGAACAGAGAGUGCCAGCCCAGAGCAAGGAGAUGGAGCACCAGCCCCAAAUCUUCUCUCUCCAAUUGUUUGGGCAAUCCACUUGACCUCUAGAAUUCUCUGUCACUGUCUGUAAAAGAAGUCAGAAGGCCCGUUAGAUGCUCUCCAGAGGUCCCUGGGAUCCGUAGAUUCCUGAUCCCAGUGAACUGGCUCACACAGUGGAAAGAACAGGGCCUCUGUUGUCAGGACGACCCGGGGCUGAAUCUCGGAUUGCCACCCACACCCCUGUGGGACCUUAAGCAGAUUAGUUACAGAAACUUCUCUCAAAUGCAAAUCUCCUCACAAUCCCAGUUUCCGAGGCUAUGAACCUGAUGGUCACUUUCCCUCGCUGCACCCCCACCCCACCCCAAAUCCAUCAGCAGGUGCCCCUGGCUCUUCCCCAAACAUCCUUCCAGUCUGCCCACUUCCCUGAGUCUCCCCCAUUGCCACUGUGGGCCAGGCAUGUGCAUCCCUGCCUGGAGGUCCACACCAGCCCCCCAGCCUGCCCUCUCUUCUCCAUAUAACAGAGUGAGUCUUGAAAGCGCACAGCUCCCGCUCGUCUGCUUCAGUGGGCAGGAUUGUGUUUACCACUCAGCAGGCACUGUUCUAAUGCUUUACCAACUUUAACUCAUACAAUCCCCACAAGCAACUCUGUGAGGUAAGAUAGCUACACCAGAGACAUAUAGACAAAUGUGGAGAUACCAUACUAUCCCUAUUGUACAGAGGAAAUUGAGGUCAAGAGAGAUUAAGGUUCAUGCCCCAAAUCACAGAGGAGGAAGGGACAAAGCCUGGAUUUGGACCUAGGCAGUCUGACCCCGAUUCCACACACUUAGCCCCAUGCUGAAUCAUUCCAGAUCCUACACCCACUCCUGCAAGAUCCUCACUCAUCUCAGCUCUCCUGCACCCCCUUGUCCACAUGUUCCGCUCACCCAGGCCUUCUGAAAACAGGCUGAGCACAUGCUGACCCCAGGGCCUUUGUGCAUGCUGUCCCUCUGCCCCAGUUCUCCUCCCACCCACUUCCUGGCUGAGUUCUCUCCCUCUCCUUCCUCUGUCUGAACACUACCUCCUCUUAGAGGACCUGGCCACUUGGUGUAGGGAAAGGCCCAGCUGUAAGGAGAGGGUCUUGUCAGUUGCCUGAUGUGAUCUGCUUCCCCCUGGUUAGUCUGUGAGAUCCAUGAGCAUGUGCUCAUGUCUGUUUCCUUCAUCACAAUUCACACUGGCACAGUGGGAUGCCAGCACAUGGUGUGGUGGGAUGGACAGAAGAUGGAUAGGCAUCUAUGCAGCCACAGUAGGAGUUCAGUAUGCAGGCCAGAUGAGAGCUCAAUGACCCACGUCUACCCCAGGGUGGUGGUGCCUGUUAGCCUGGAGAGUGCAUGGGUGCUAGCAAGCCAUGAGGACCACCCGGCAUAAAGCAGCAGUCAGGAAAAGAACAGGAAGCAGACUUGGGCACUCCUGGCCAGGUGGUGACUGGCCUGACCUGGGGAGUGAGGGAGGCUGGAGUGUCCCAGAUGAUGCCCUCGUUUCAAGCUUGUUCACUGGAUAAAAAUGAAGAGAGGACACGCUCCUGCUCCACAAAGGGUAAUGUCUGGGUAAAGGAAGCACGGUACCAGGCUACUGAUAAUAAGUAUCAUUAAAGAUCAAAAAAGGGAACGGGGACAAAAUUAUUGGAACUUGUAAGAGGCUGAGAUUGUUUCUGCUUGGGGUGACCAGAGCAGUGCCAUGCAUGAGCUGGCUGCGUGAGCAGGUACCAAAACAGUGAGUGAAGGACAAAUGAAAAUUGUCUCUCCUUCCUAAAAACAAUUAGAUUUUUCUUAACACAGUUUGACUGCAGGAAUCCCAAAGCUAAAAUAGUGACAUCUGGCUGAGAGUUGCUGGUGAGUUCAGGGGAUCACCCCCAAGGGUGAAGUGAAGAACUGCAGGGGGAGGGGCUCAGGGGUAGAAAGAGCAGACAUGAGUCUGGGAAUGAUGUGGGCCACCCUGCCCGGAGUAUAGAGGCUUGCUUUGGAGCCCACCACCUUCUCCCCAUGAAAGGCAAGGAACAUUCUGGAUAGGAGCUUGUAGGCACUUUGCCAUGAGGGCCAGUAGUUCAGAGAAAGGGAACUUCCUAGACUUUCAUCCUAGCCCACAGGUAAAAUGGGCUAAAACUAGCAGGUCCAUACAUCCCCAGGGGGCCUCAUCAUCACCCAUCUUGUCUGUAUGGAGGACCAUCCAUUCCAUGCUCUGGGCUCAGUGUCAACACACACUGUCUAGUUGAUAAUACUAUCUCUAUGGUGCAAGAGAAACCCUCCAGCCUAGCCUCCGGAAACCCCACGUGUGGCUCUACAGAACCCCCAGUACCUUGGACAUGUAGCUAUCCUCUCUGGGAUGAGUUUUCAUCUUUUAAGCAUGAAGGUUAGAUUAGAAUGGCACUCUUUAAAGAGUUUGUUGUUGUUGUUGUUGUUGUUGUUGUUAUUGCUGUUGUUUAAUGAUGGGAGCCCUUAUUUAAAUUAAAAAAUAAAAGAACAAAUAUUUUAAAAGCAUAAAUCUUAAGUGAACUUUGAUAUCAAGAGCAGAUAACAGUGAAACACCUCUGCUAAAAUAAGGAUAGGCCGGCCUGAGCUCACCU